CUUGCCUUUUGCCAGCGUAUGGGUGGAUCCCAGUUCUGGCAGUCCGUGAUCCAGCUUCUGCCCGUCCUUCGCAUCAGCACGUCCAUCUCAAUUGGAUCUGGGUCCUCGACCCUGUUCUGGUUCGACCGUUGGUUAGGGGACUCCCCCUGGCUGCGUUUCCCAGAACUCUUUGCAAUUGCGGCCGACCCUCGGGUCUCUGUCGAGAUGGCCCUUAUUGACUUAGGGCGUCCCGCUUUCCGGCGCCCCUUCGGCCCCCUCGAGGUGGCUGCUUGGGACUCCCUCCUCCAAGACAUCGCCUUUAUGCUGAUGAACGUCGAGGAGGACCUGGAUGCCCUUUCCUGGCGCCUUGAGCCAUCUGGCCGCUUCUCCACGAAGUCCUUGUACGCCACCAUUGCGCCCUCGGCGGCCCCGGAGCCCUUUAGCCUGAGCUAGGACAUCCGCCUACCUCUGAAGAUCAGGAUUUUCCUGUGGCAAUGGAUCCGUGGACGCCUCCCCUCUGGGGUUGAAGUCCUCAAGCGUAACGGCCCGGGUGAUGGGAUGUGUCCCAUCUGUGGCACGAUCGAGGAUGCUAACCACAUCUUCUUCUCGUGCUCUACUGCCUAG
rnacentral:rRNA from 1 species